rnacentral:rRNA from 1 species
AGUGAACGCUGGCGAUAGGCCUAACACAUGCAAGUCGAACGGCAGCACAGUAAGAGCUUGCUCUUACGGGUGGCGAGUGGCGGGCGGUGAGGAAUACAUCGGAAUCUACUUUUUCGUGGGGGAUAACGUAGGGAAACUUACGCUAAUACCGCAUACGACCUACGGGUGAAAGCAGGGGAUCUUCGGACCUUGCGCGAUUGAAUGAGCCGAUGUCGGAUUAGCUAGUUGGCGGGGUAAAGGCCCACCAAGGCGACGAUCCGUAGCUGGUCUGAGAGGAUGAUCAGCCACACUGGAACUGAGACACGGUCCAGACUCCUACGGGAGGCAGCAGUGGGGAAUAUUGGACAAUGGGCGCAAGCCUGAUCCAGCCAUACCGCGUGGGUGAAGAAGGCCUUCGGGUUGUAAAGCCCUUUUGUUGGGAAAGAAAAGCAGCAGGUUAAUACCCCGCUGUUCUGACGGUACCCAAAGAAUAAGCACCGGCUAACUUCGUG